rnacentral:ncRNA from 1 species
UCGCGGGAGAGACGGGGCACUCGAUCAGGAGUUGACACCCGCGCCGAAGGAGCAACCGCCUCGGAAACUCUCAGGCAAACGGACCGCAUGGGA